CCUUCGCCACCCUGCACGUCUGCUUGCUUCUCCUUAAUGAGCCUCUAGUGCAAAUGGUUGUGACCAUUCCAGUCUCUCUUCUUUACUUUUGGAUUUUUAUGUGCAUCCGUGUGUCCUGGUUUCGGCUGGGAUAGAAUUAAUUGUCUUCCUAGUAGCUGGUGCAGUGCUAUGUUUUGGGUUCAAUAUGAGAAGAAUGUUGAUAACACACUGAUGUUUUCAGUUGUUGCUAAGUCGUGUUUAGACUAAGUCCAGGAUUUUUCAGCUUCUGAUGCCCAGCCAGCAAGAAGGCUGGGGGGGGCACAAGAAGUUGGGAGGGGACACAGCCAGGGCAGCUGACCCAAACUGGCCAAAGGGGUAUUCCAUACCAUGUGAUGUCAUGCCCAGUAUAUAAAUUGGGGGGAUCGCUGCUCGGGAACUAACUGGGCAUCAGUCGGCAAGUGUCUGUUGCCAUGUGCCUCCUAUUUCAGCUGCUUGCUGUGAUGAAGCACCACUUGGAGAAGAAUCAGUCAAUUGACCUCAUGUACCUGGUGAAGCAGCAUCCAAAGGAGAAGCAAUAUCCUCAGUUUAGGCAGCACCACUGAGCGUACUUGCUGCUUGCACAUCUGCCAAACCACCAGCCCUUUGGUCAAGGGCCUAACUGAAUUUCAGAAGGCAUGGUAUCACAAAGAAACCGCAGGCAAUUAAAAUCAUCCCGAGGUCUCCCUGGCUUCCUGCUUCUAAUCUACAUUCUCAAGAAUGAAUCAAAACCGUGAGAGGAAAUUGUGUUUGGCCCUAUACUUUUUAGAGGCCUGGGGCGGAAGAGCA